rnacentral:rRNA from 1 species
UACGGAGGGUGCAAGCGUUGUCCGGAAUCACUGGGCGUAAAGCGCACGUAGGCGGAUUGUUAAGUCGGGGGUGAAAUCCUGGAGCUCAACUCCAGAACUGCCUUCGAUACUGGCGAUCUCGAGUCCGGGAGAGGUGAGUGGAACUGCGAGUGUAGAGGUGAAAUUCGUAGAUAUUCGCAAGAACGCCAGUGGCGAAGGCGGCUCACUGGCCCGGUACUGACGCUGAGGUGCGAAAGCGUGGGGAGCAAACAGG